GACAGAGGUGGCAAGCGUUGUUCGGAUUUAUUGGGUGUAAAGGGCAGGUAGGUGGUUCUGUAAGUCUGGUGUGAAAUCCCACGGCUCAACCGUGGAACGGCACCGGAAACUGCAGGACUUGAGUAUCAGAGAGGUGAGGGGAAUUCUCGGUGUAAGGGUGAAAUCUGUAGAUAUCGAGAGGAACACCAGUGGCGAAGGCGCCUCACUGGCUGAUUGCUGACACUGAACUGCGAAAGCAAGGGGAGCAAACAGG
rnacentral:rRNA from 1 species